rnacentral:rRNA from 1 species
AUUGAACGCUGGCGGUAGGCUUAACACAUGCAAGUCGAGAGAGCGUCGGACGGGUGAGUAAUGUGUGGAAAACUGCCUGAUGGAAGGGGGUAACUAAUGGAAACAGUAUCUACUAACGCAUACCAUCAGAUGUGCCCAGAUGGGAUUGGCUAUUAGGUGGGGUAAUGGCUCCCCUAGGCGACGAUACCUAGCUGGUCUGAUAGGAUGACCAGCCAAACUGGACUGGAGACACGGUCCAGACUCAUACGGGAGUCGGCAGGGGGGAGUAGUGCACAAUGGGAGCAAGCCUGAUGCAGCCAUGCCGAGUGUGUGAAGAAGGCCCUGGGGUUGUAAAGCUCAUUCAGCGAGGAGGCGUUACUCGAAGAAGAAGCACCGGCUAACUCCGUGCCAGCAGCCGCGGUAAUAC